UGAGGCAUAGCCUGGCCAAGGAGGGCGGGUAUAAAUUCACAGGGGAUGACCGGGAGCAGAGAGAAGGCAAUUAGACACCGAUGUGACCACCUUCAUUUCGACUUCCUCCAGACCUCUCAACCCACUUCUUUUCUUCUCUCUUCAAAAGGAAUGAGGACAUACAAGACGUUGGCGACAACUGGGAAGACAACCGUGUGGGUGCUGUGAUUGUGGGCCCUGGGGUCAGUGAGAAGUGGUGCUCCUUCUCGGAGGCUGUGCCGGGCCGCCAGCCUUUCUCCUUAUGUUUAAUCCAACAGAUCCCGUAACUAGAAAAGAAAAGUGCUAUUCGCUUUGUACCAUCGAGCCUACCUGCUAUUUCGAUCUCUUGGUCAGGGUAACCAAUUGUUAUAAAUGUUAAUUAUUGGCUCGGAUAUAUAAGGUUUCCCAAAAUGGAACCUUUCACUGAAAACCACUAAAAGAGGUAAAAUGACAUGAAUUUACAAACCACAUAAACCAAAUGAUCCAUUUUAAAUCGCGCACAGAAAGGUUAGAGUUGUUCUAGUAACUUAAAACCUUUGCUGUCAAUGCAAAUCACACGAAAAACAGAGAUGCGUCGGAGAUUUAAAGGGAACGAGCAACUCCAGCUGCUGCCCCCGCCGCUCCGUGGUUCCCGAGGGUAACGCGGCUGGCGAGGGGCGCCCGACGCCAGGUUUCGGCUCUUCUGUGCCUCUGCUGCGCAGGUAAUGGCCGGGUGCGCACAAUUGGUCAAUGGAAAGGCCAAUGCGGAGGCACUGGUUGCUGCUGGGGUUUCUCGGCUGGGUUGACAUAAGGCCUUGGUUCAAAAAACCUCUGACUGGGACCCACUUAUUUCCCUUCUGGCUUAGAGCGAGGUGUUUUGGGGGCUCACGGCCUGCUUUCUUGGAAUUACUUCGCCAUCAAGAACGACAGCGGGGAUCCUGCUCUAGCUACGUAUAUUUGGAAGGGAAAGGCAACAGGAGGCGUUUCUUUAACAAAUUAGCGUCGUCGCUCUGCGGCAGUGCAGAGACUGCCCAAAUCCUGGCUGAAGUGACAGCAUCCAUCUUUUUUCCUCUGCUUGGUCGGAAACUCCGGGUGCCCUCGACCCUUGGGAUGCGGGGCUCCCCGAGGCCAGCGGCCGGAGCAGCCGCCCACCUGCCUCCUGGGGGACGCCGCUCCCCGCGAGGUCUGAAUAGGCCGAGGGCUCAGGCAGGGCGAUUUGCGGACCCGGAGAAGAGAAACCCAAAACCAGUCCAUUAGUAAAUGAGUUUUGUGUUGUCAAGGUUCUUUCCCAUCCACUUGCUGUUCUGAAAAAUAGAUCACGUUUCGUUAUCUUUAGUGGGAAUCUGCAACGUGACACCGGAUCCGCGCGGCCCCCGCCUGUCUCCCUCCCUCUCUUCCAGCCUCGCUCCGCCGGGCCAAGGGGAGCCGGCCGGCUUCCUCGGCUUAUUUCUGAACAAUGAAGAUUUGUCUGUUCCCCUAAUAUAUUUAUGUAUGGAGGGAAGGAGGGAGUUUUCUCCUGGAAGCGGGAAGCGCGCGAGCAGGGCCUCCCGCUUCCUUGGUGCGAAAACCCAGCGCCAGCCCAGGACGCCGGCCGGCCGCCCCCCGCCCACACCUGGACAAACAGAGCGGGCCGCGCGCGGCUGGCUGCUGAAAACCCCGCCGCCCCGCGCGCCUCCUGAAUUACAGUCUGCACAUUGUCCCGGGGUCAGGGAAGGGAGAGACAGAGACUGACUGAGGGACACCGCUGCGAGGGAGCUCAGAGUGAAGAGGGACAGAACUGGGGGGCGCUCCGAAGUUUCACAGACACAGCGUGCUGAUGUCGGGCACCCAGGCAGCGCCGGGCGAGAAGACUCUGAAGUCCCGCCAGGGCGUCGGCUCCGUCAGCGGGACCCCGCCAUGCUGAGUGGAGGCGUCGUCUAAGGGUGGCACGGGUAGGCGGAAGAAGGUGGGUUGGCCACCUGGAGGAAAAGGGCCGACUUCAAUUGCGCUCUGAGAAGGCUCAGGCUCAGGGACUCGCCAAGCUCCAGACUUAGCCAGAAGACGCACUCAACAUCAGAUGCCAAGCACCUUUCUGGAAAGUGAAGGAGAGUGUUAUAAGAAUCUGUUCUUACGAAUUUAAGAUACCCUUGCCCCCUUCUCUUUAUUAAUAUUGCUUUAGGGCAAGUUUACAAAAAGAUACUCUCCAAGAGUCCUUGUUUUCCAUUGAAUGUCCAAUAAACUUUUUUCUCAACUAAUGUACAUCCUGAAUACCGCAUCUGUCUAAGCUAAGAAGAAUUUCCUUUUGGGAGGUGAAAGCCUGCAGCUCCUCCUGUUCAGAGGAAAGUGCUAGUGACGGUAAUGCAGGGUGACACUAAAUAAACAGUUAGGGUGGACUGGAAAGAUGGAGUUAAUUAUCCAGUGAGCUGCGUUUCAGCCCAGACCAUCAGGGGCUGAUUUGUUUUGGCUCAUAGUCGUAGGAAGGAGACAAACCACUCUCUUCUCUACAUCUCUUAGGGAUCCUGAUCACUGGUUUCUCAAACAAAACAAAAUACAAAAACCACUACCCAGGUAUCACUGUUUCAAUUAAAAUUUGGUUUACU
ensembl:lncRNA